CACAUCACGAAAUAGUCCACAUGGGCCUGGGGACUGCAGGAUCAAGUAAAUCACGGUCACGUUCCAGUUCUUCGAUUUCAGGACCAUCUUGAUGGCGACCAGGCUCUCCCCAAAUUCUUCAGACUUUCAAAGACAACCCCUAGGCUUACUCCCACAGGGAUCGGGCUCGAUCCUGGGAUGUAAGGACAUAAAUCCUCCCCUCACAUGGCUCACUGCGGAAAACAACAUUCAGUGGGAGAAGAUGCUGGAGAGCCUCCACGCCCUACAGACAAACUCUCCCACAAACAACGAUCAUUUACUCUGAGGCAAGCCAGCUGCUAAGUUGGGAGGACACUCAGGCAGUCUAUGAGAGGCUCAUGUGAAAGAACUGACAGCUUCAGCCAACAGCCAAGAAGUGGGCUUGAAAGCAGACCCUUCCCACUUGAGUCUUCAGAUGAGACUG